AAACAGUAGAGCGCGCUUUAGCUUUAAAUUUAACGUCGAUUUUCAACUUGCUAUAGUUCUGCCGCGAAAUUUUUUUGAAACCGACGCAUGUUCGAUGUACAUGUUAGACAUAACGAUUAUCAGGCUGUAUGCUCUACUCCAACUCCGAACACGUCUAGAGCACGAAAUAUACGCGAAUAAUGCGUCAGAUCAAAGUGGAAAUUUAUUCUCUAUGACGACGUAUGUAACCCUGAUCAUCUAAAUAUUAUUAUUAUUAUUGUACCACAUUAUAUAUCGCGUAUGAUAUCUGUAAAAAAAAUUUUUU